UACGUAGGGUGCAAGCGUUAAUCGGAAUUACUGGGCGUAAAGCGUGCGCAGGCGGUUUUGUAAGUCUGUCGUGAAAUCCCCGGGCUUAACCUGGGAACUGCACUUGUGACUGCACGGCUGGAGUGCGGCAGAGGGGGAUGGAAUUCCGCGUGUAGCAGUGAAAUGCGUAGAUAUGCGGAGGAACACCGAUGGCGAAGGCAAUCCCCUGGGCCUGCACUGACGCUCAUGCACGAAAGCGUGGGGAGCAAACAGG
rnacentral:rRNA from 1 species